CAUGCAGCAUUAAUUUUUUGAAAUUUUACAGGAAAAUUAAGAAAAACAGGGAGAGAAAUGAAAAAUGUUCUUAUUACAGCAAUAAAGUUAAUUAAAAAGAACUAACUUAUCAAUUAUUAUCGACUUUAAAAUGCCGACUCUCUCUAAAAACCCGAUUUCCUCGGCAUGGUUGUUGGCAGACAGCGCGGAGGCGGAGCGACGACUGCCUGAGGCUGAGGACUGAUUGAGGGAAGCAAUACAGGAGCUACAGAGGCAUCAUAGGAUGGCGGCGAGUGGCGACGACACCCCGUACGACCAUGCUGAUGAUCCUGCGUGGCCAACGCCAUUGGUAAUUUCUGCCAAAGCUUUCUCCUCUGUUAUGGCGUUAGAGUAGGCAUCGGGAUUCUUUCUCGCACUUUCAAGCUCGCCAGAGGACAAUCGUAUUCGUUGCUUCUUGAUCUCAAGAUUAGGGUUUUAACCAAUCAAACAAAAUCUUAUUGAGCUAAUAAAAUUGAACUCUUAAAAAAAGAAGCGGUGGCUAAUGAGAUUUGAUGAUUCUUUUGUAGAAUUAUCCUUAGAUUACAUUUAACCCAAAAUGAAAACUAAAACAUGAAAGAUAUUCAAAUUAUCCCCAGAUUAGGAAAUAAAAGAGAAGAUAAAAUUGAAUAAUAUUACUCACAGUAAGCGGUAGAAAGUCUUGAACAACGUUGCCUUCAGCGGAAUAGUAGACAAAACUUACGUUUCUUCCAUGCCCAAAACAACAGCCCUGUUAGCAAAACGAUUUGGGGAAGAAGAUUGCCAUUGUAGAGUAAUAAUAAGAAAAUUGCCUUGUACAACCAUCUCCAAAAGUAAAUUUCCCAGCGUCACAUUUGUGGAGUUCCUUCAAAAUGUCUUUGUUUAUAGUCUCUUGAAAAAUUACAACCAAAAUACUAAACCUUCUCUAUAAUCGAUACUCGAUCACCAGUUCUGAGUUAUGGGAUGCCGUAAUUAUUGUUGAAACAACUAUAAUCAAUUACAAUUCAAUUUAAUAGUUAACAUAUUAUUAAGUUCAAAACAUCAUUACUAUAUGCUAUUCAAUCAUUUACGAGUCUUAUAUGAACUUGCAGAAGCUCUUUGGAUAACUUAAGGUCAAAUAAAUAUCAAAUUAUAAAAUUUUCAAACUAUCGAAUUGGCGUCACAAUUUCGAGGGUUUUAAGUCGCGACAUGACUCACUAACUUGUUCUCGUGAGUCACAUCAUGAUAUCAAGAACUUGAUGUCGCGAUGUCACUUACUAUUUUCAAAAGAUCCAUAUGAUAACUAACACUUAAAAUAAUUCAUCAAAUGCCUCAAUUCAACCAUUUCAGCAAAUAUAUCGUUCUUAUAUACUUCUAACCUUUAGCAUCAUAUGUAUAUAUAAACAUUACACAAAAUCAUCAUCUCAACCUCAAAUCAUAUGAGAAUUUCUACAUGCUAACCAUUUAAAUCAUUUAACUACUUAUGCUAAUCUCAAAUAUGUAUUAAACAAGUUAGGAAUAUUAGACUCAAUUAGAUUGCCAAUUCGGAAUACAAAAUUACCAUUUUAAUACAAAACUAACUCCAAUCCUAAGUACAUGUCAUAUAUCAAAACAUAAAGGAGUUAUACAAACAUUGAUAAGUCGAGGAUUGAAGAUUGGAUGGUAAAUUACUUCUCGAGACUUCAAAUUCCACUUAUUUCUACCCACGGGAUAAACAAACCGCAUGUUAAGCGAUAAAAAUCAAUGGUACUUUCAUGAUUCAAGUUAAUAUAACAAUAACAUUAAUUAAAUGAACAAAAUCAAUUCAAGUUCAACAUUUAAUCAAUUCAUAUUCCAUUUAUGCCAAGAGUUUCCAUUAACAUAUGAUAAAUGCAAAUAACGAUUUUGUAUACCAAUUCAUUUGGCAUUUGCAUUAAAUUUUUCCAUAUCAUACCAUUCAACACUAAAGUACAUAUAUCUUUAUUUCAUAAAAUACCAAUUUCUCACUUCUUUAAACUUAUCUCAUUCUCAAAUCUAUUGAUUUGUUUUAUUUCCAUAGCGGGCCUUCUGGGUGCAAUGUGUCUUAUCAGUACACUCAACACUUGUUGGUUACAAACAAACUAUAUAUUAUUUAAACAAAAUCAUAUUGAUUGCAUAGUAAAAUAAAAAAUAAAAAAUAAAAAAAUUAUAAAGCUAUGAAUAAUAACGCAUGUAAUAAUACCAUUUGAUUGUAAUGCUUUUUUCUUAAAGGAAAAAUCCUUGAUAGAAAAUAGAGUACAAUGACAUGAUGACUCAUAGGCAAUACCACUCAAGCCUUUUAAAACAUCCAAAAUAGAACUAUAAAAUCUACACCCAAUUACAAAAAAAAAAAAAAAAAAAAACCCAUACAGUCCACAUCAACGAGCAUAAAUUCGAAGCACCAUUUAAUAAUAAUGUUAUUAUCUUUUGAUAAUAUUACCAUUUGACUACUUUAAAAAUAUAUAUGUUAUAAUUACAAAUACAUCACAUCUUUAAAAUUUAAAGACGAUAUUGUUGAAAGAAUAAAGAAUCAGUUCAGAGAUUGAUUAAGAACACACUAAUGGAAAUAUCUUUGAAUUCUGGUGGUAACGAAUCUCAUCCGGAAAAGAACGUUAGUGAAGGUGCUCAAGCAGAUGUGGAUCGAAAUACUAAGAAACUCAUAUUCAAAGAGGUUAAUGAUGAAGCGGUUACCGAUAUGCUGGUUGAGCUGAGGAUGACCCCAAAUCUAUCAUGGAAAGAUAAACUAAUGGGGAAUGGAACUAGAAAUAUUGGUAAGAUGGCAAUGAAAAAUUUUGUUGUGGGGGUGGAUGAGGAUUUAGAAUUCUUGGAAGAUGAUAUUAACAGAUCUAUAGUUAAUGGGAUUCCUACUAUAGAUUUCUCUGAUAGGAUUCAACGAAUUCAAUUCAAAGAAAUGGAAACUACGGUGAUUUUGAAAUUGUUGGGUAGAAAUAUCGGAUAUGGAGAUUUAAAGUUUAAACAACUAGAUCAACAACCUAUGGAAACCUUUUAAACCUUUUCAACUCAUGGAUAUAGAAAAUGGCUACUUUUUGGCAAAGUUUCAGUGUGUCGACGAUUAUGAAAAAGUUUUAUCGCAAGGUCCUUGGUUAAUCUAUAGGAAAUACUUGACUAUACAACCUUGGACUAAAGACUUUAAUUCAUUACAACCGUAUCCAAGUAUGGUGAUGGCGUGGAUACGCCUACUAGGACUUCUAGGAUUCUUAUACAAAAAAAGAGAUUCUUAAAGAAAUAGGGGGAACUAUUGUGAAAGUAGCCAGAUUGGACUUUUACACGAAUAGCAGAACUAGAGGCUACUUCGCUUGAAUGGUCGUUUAUGUGAAUCUGGAUAAAUCCCUUGUUUCUCAAGUGCUGGUUAACGAAUCCAUUCAAAAAGUAGAAUAUGAGUCAUUACCCACAAUUUGUUUCAAGUGUGGGAAAUAUGGCCAUACCAAAAAAAUCUAUGCAACAUCGAAGUAGAGGUUGACGGUGGAAAAAGAGUAUAAGGAAUCCACUCCGGCCGAGGCUGUGAACAGAGGGGACGACACGAUUUACAGGCCAUGGGUGGUGGUUGAAAGAAAAAUAAGGCGAAAUUCAAGAGCCAUUAAUAAUAAUAAAAGAUUAAUUUUGCGAGAAAAGAGGGUUUGGGAUCUCGAUUUGAUGCUAUGGAAAAUAUUCAAAACUUGGACGGGGUGGAGGCGGAAAUAAACAAAGAUUUAGUUAGAGAAGUAGCAAGGAAUAAGAACAAAAUGAAGGAAGCAAAGACUAAUUUGAGAGGGUUGUCUGCUGCAGAAUAACCUUAAAUUA
rnacentral:lncRNA from 1 species